GCUGGGACACCCAGAAGCCGGGAGAUGGACUUGCUGUCUCUAAGCCAGACCUUAUUAUGUGUCUGGAGCAAAAGAAAGAGCCCUGGGAUAUGAAGAGACAUGGCACAUUAGCCAAACUUCCAGCUGUGACGCCUCAUUACACUGAAGGUCUUCUGCCAGAGAAGAGCAUAGAAGACUCACUUGUAAAGGUGCCGAUGGGAAAAUAUGUGAUCCAUACUGGAGAGAAACCCUACAAAUGUGAAG